GUGGGUGUAGCCAAGUGGUAAGGCAAAGGUUUGUGGUAUCUUCAUACGCGGGUUCAAGUCCCGUCAUUCACC
rnacentral:tRNA from 1 species